rnacentral:rRNA from 1 species
AGAGUUUGAUCAUGGCUCAGAUUGAACGCUGGCGGCAGGCCUAACACAUGCAAGUCGAGCGGUAGAGAGAAGCUUGCUUCUCUUGAGAGCGGCGGACGGGUGAGUAAUGCCUAGGAAUCUGCCUGGUAGUGGGGGAUAACGUUCGGAAACGGACGCUAAUACCGCAUACGUCCUACGGGAGAAAGCAGGGGACCUUCGGGCCUUGCGCUAUCAGAUGAGCCUAGGUCGGAUUAGCUAGUUGGUGAGGUAAUGGCUCACCAAGGCGACGAUCCGUAACUGGUCUGAGAGGAUGAUCAGUCACACUGGAACUGAGACACGGUCCAGACUCCUACGGGAGGCAGCAGUGGGGAAUAUUGGACAAUGGGCGAAAGCCUGAUCCAGCCAUGCCGCGUGUGUGAAGAAGGUCUUCGGAUUGUAAAGCACUUUAAGUUGGGAGGAAGGGUUGUAGAUUAAUACUCUGCAAUUUUGACGUUACCGACAGAAUAAGCACCGGCUAACUCUGCGCCAGCAGCCGCGGUAAUACAGAGGGUGCAAGCGUUAAUCGGAAUUACUGGGCGUAAAGCGCGCGUAGGUGGUUUGUUAAGUUGGAUGUGAAAUCCCCGGGCUCAACCUGGGAACUGCAUUCAAAACUGACUGACUAGAGUAUGGUAGAGGGUGGUGGAAUUUCCUGUGUAGCGGUGAAAUGCGUAGAUAUAGGAAGGAACACCAGUGGCGAAGGCGACCACCUGGACUAAUACUGACGCUGAGGUGCGAAAGCGUGGGGAGCAAACAGGAUUAGAUACCCUGGUAGUCCACGCCGUAAACGAUGUCAACUAGCCGUUGGAAGCCUUGAGCUUUUAGUGGCGCAGCUAACGCAUUUAAGUUGA